UUAAAAAAGGGGUUGGUUUCAUUGGUGGCCUGGUGUUUCAUUAACCUCCCUGACGGUAUUCCCGAGCGUGACUCAGGGUUAAUUUUCGCUGCCAGGAGCGGUAACCCCUAGUCACGCUCGGGGUAACAUUGCAGAGUCCCUUCA